rnacentral:rRNA from 1 species
GAUGAACGCUGGCGGCGUGCCUAAUACAUGCAAGUCGAGCGAACGGACGAGAAGCUUGCUUCUCUGAUGUUAGCGGCGGACGGGUGAGUAACACGUGGAUAACCUACCUAUAAGACUGGGAUAACUUCGGGAAACCGGAGCUAAUACCGGAUAAUAUUUUGAUCCGCAUGGUUCAAAAGUGAAAGACGGUCUUGCUGUCACUUAUAGAUGGAUCCGCGCUGCAUUAGCUAGUUGGUAAGGUAACGGCUUACCAAGGCAACGAUGCAUAGCCGACCUGAGAGGGUGAUCGGCCACACUGGAACUGAGACACGGUCCAGACUCCUACGGGAGGCAGCAGUAGGGAAUCUUCCGCAAAGGGCGAAAGCCUGACGGAGCAACGCCGCGUGAGUGAUGAAGGUCUUCGGAUCGUAAAACUCUGUUAUUAGGGAAGAACAUAUGUGUAAGUAACUGUGCACAUCUUGACGGCACCUAAUCAGAAAGCCACGGCUAACUACGUG